rnacentral:rRNA from 1 species
GACAGAGGUCCCGAGCGUUAGGCGGAAUCACUGGGCUUAAAGCGUGUGUAGGCGGAUUGCUAAGUACCUUGUGAAAUCCCACGGCUUAACCGUGGAACUGCUUGGUAUACUGGCUGUCUUGAGCCACUUAGGGGCGACCGGAACAAACGGUGGAGCGGUGAAAUGCGUAGAUAUCGUUUGGAACGCCAAAGGUGAAAACAGGUCGCUGGGAGUGUGCUGACGCUGAGACACGAAAGCCAGGGGAGCAAACGGG